rnacentral:rRNA from 1 species
GACAGAGGCCUCGAGCGUUAGGCGGAAUCACUGGGCUUAAAGCGUGUGUAGGCGGGCCCGUAAGUGUCUUGUGAAAUCCCACGGCUCAAUCGUGGAACUGCUGGGCAUACUGCGGGUCUUGGGCCAACUAGGGGCAGCCGGAACAAGCGGUGGAGCGGUGAAAUGCGUAGAGAUCCGGAAGAACACCGGUGGCGAAGGCGGCCUGCUGGGCAGUGGCUGACACUGAGGCGCGACAGCGUGGGGAGCAAACAGG